rnacentral:rRNA from 1 species
GACGAACCGUGCGAACGUUGUUCGGAAUCACUGGGCUUAAAGGGCGCGUAGGCGGGCCAGCAAGUCAGGGGUGAAAUCCCGCGGCUCAACCGCGGAAGUGCCUUUGAUACUGCGGGCCUGGAGGGAGGUAGGGGCGUGCGGAACUUCCGGUGGAGCGGUGAAAUGCGUAGAUAUCGGAAGGAACACCGGUGGCGAAAGCGGCGCGCUGGACCUCUUCUGACGCUGAGGCGCGAAAGCCAGGGGAGCAAACGGG